rnacentral:rRNA from 1 species
UACGAAGGGGGCUAGCGUUGCUCGGAAUGACUGGGCGUAAAGGGCGCGUAGACGGUAGCGUAAGUCGGAUGUGAAAGCCCCGGGCUCAACCUGGGAAUUGCAUUCGAGACUGCGCUGCUAGGGUGCGGAAGAGGGAAGCGGAAUUUCCGGUGUAGCGGUGAAAUGCGUAGAUAUCGGAAGGAACAUCAGUGGCGAAAGCGGCUUCCUGGUCCAGCACCGACGUUCAGGCACGAAAGCGUGGGGAGCAAACAGG